UAGAGGUUGAAUCUUCCUUACAAUAUUCUAUCAUAUUUUGUUUCUGUGUGACAAAUGGCAGCAGAGAGGCAGCCUGGCAAAGUGGCAUCUGAUAUGGAAGUGUGUUACAAAGCAAGGGGUGUAACCGAAUUCCUUCAUGUGGAAAAAAUGGCACCCAUUGACAUUCAUUGACUCUUGCUGAACAUUUAUGGACAACAAACAGUGGAUGUCAGCACAGUGUAAAGUUUCCUUGGAAAUAAAUAAGAGGCACUACUUUGGGAGCUUCCUACUUCAUUGUGUCAGUGUGUUAUGCACCAUAUGAUCCCAUGACCCUCAAACUGCACUGGCAGUAGACCAUUGUCCUUCUAUGG
ensembl:lncRNA